GAUGAACGCUGGCGGCGUGCCUAAUACAUGCAAGUCGAGCGAACGGACGAGAAGCUUGCUUCUCUGAUGUUAGCGGCGGACGGGUGAGUAACACGUGGAUAACCUACCUAUAAGACUGGGAUAACUUCGGGAAACCGGAGCUAAUACCGGAUAAUAUUUUGAACCGCAUGGUUCAAAAGUGAAAGACGGUCUUGCUGUCACUUAUAGAUGGAUCCGCGCUGCAUUAGCUAGUUGGUAAGGUAACGGCUUACCAAGGCAACGAUGCAUAGCCGACCUGAGAGGGUGAUCGGCCACACGGGAACUGAGCCACGGUCCAGACUCCUACGGGAGGCAGCAGUAGGGAAUCUUCGGCAAUGGGCGAAAGCCUGACGGAGCAACGCCGCGUGAGUGAUGAAGGUCUUCGGAUCGUAAAACUCUGUUAUUAGGGAAGAACAUAUGUGUAAGUAACUGUGCACAUCUUGACGGUACCUAAUCAGAAAGCCACGGCUAACUACGUG
rnacentral:rRNA from 1 species